ensembl:lncRNA
UGAUUAUUAUUUUCUAUUUUCUAUUUAAUUUUUUCCAUGUUAGUGACAGUGGGAUAUGACAUUUUUUUUUCAGGCUGAUAAUGAUUUUUUUUUUCAUUACAGAUCUAAGUUCUGGGUCUGGUGGUCAGUUUAUAAAUUUGGACUUUAAGAGACUUCAUAGCCACUUUAUCUUUGCCUACUUACACAUUUGUGUAUAGAAAAUAUUUAUGUCUCCUUAUAUUAUAUAUAAGAAUUUGUGUUAUAUAGCCUUCUCCAAACUGAGAUUGCUGGAAGACAAUUGUAAAAGGAUGUCUUUUGUCUCCUUUUCUCAAAGCAAUGUAAAUAAAACCUAUUGACAAUCCAGAAAGGCAAGAUAGAGCAGUUUAUUUUUCACAGUGCAAAUUAAGGCAGAGAUCACUGGGGGGUUAAAUACAACUUAAGUAUAACUGACCACGUUUCUGGAAAAAAUCCUAAUGCUGUUAUGUUCUGCCCAUGAAGAAAGGUUACUGUAAAACUGGAAAUAGAUUUUAAAGACAGCAUUAGAUUUUCUUAAAGAAAAAUUGCUUAUUUAGAAUUAUACCAGGCAUUUAAUUUUUUUUUUAUUUUGUUCCUUUAAGGUUCAGAUCUUUGGUGCAUUACACAUAUUGCUGUCCACUUUUUGAGAAAUAUGUCAAUUUUUGUUACAUUUUUGUUAAGAGUUGACAUGUUCAGAACUUCCAGUGUGCUGUCAAACUGUAUAAAAUACUUUUAAUAUUUUGCAAUGAAUGUCAUGGAUCUAUUUUUUUUUUUUUUUAAUGAGCAAAGCUUUGUAGACAGAUGGGAUCAAAGUUACCCAAUGCUGAGGUAACCCAGAGGUAAGGGAGAAUAGGAUGCUGCCCACUUGCAACAAUUCCCAUAAAACUCUUAUUGGAGGAGAAUAAAUUUCAGAGAUAUUUUGCUAUUUUCAUAAAGAAAGAGAAGAGUACUAGAAAAUGAACAAAAGGUUUUUUGUAUGUUCUACAGGGAAAGAUGAAUUGAUUCUUGUACUAAAAGUUAUUUUUCUGACCCAUGUUGGCUAACAUAGGAGGAAUGAAUUUGUAAUAUUAGUGCCUUGAAUAAGUUGAAUAUUUAAUUUUCAUUUAAAAUUUAUUACAAAGCAUUUAGAAAUAACUGCUGACUCAUUUUUUUAAAAAAUGCUUAUUUUUUGAGCAUCCAAAUUUAGAAAUUCCCGUAAAGUGAGUUCAGAUAAUGCGUAUAACAGAUUUUUAUUAAUUUCAUGCCGACCCCCAUCUUUAUCAUUUAAUUUUGAAUACAGUACCUGAAUAGUCCUGAUUUUCUUUCCCUUACAACUUUCUGAAAUCGGUCACCUUGAUCAUGACAAGGAAAUCCGUUCCCUCGAUGAAGAAAUUUAGUAGACUUGAAAAACAUGUUUUGAACAACCUGUUCCUUGUAUGUGAUGUGACUUUAUAGAUAUGCUUUGAAUUUUUCAAGAAAUUAAGAUGUAUUUGCUUUAAGCUGACUGCACCUUUUUAUGCAAUCCCUCUUGUGACCAGCAAGCUUGUUGGUAUGAUGUCUGUCUGGGGAGAGGGUUAUGGUGCAUAAUCUUAACAUUUCAAUGUCUUUCCCUUUAUGAAGCUUGACUUUUUCUGGGCUGUAAUCCAUGAUGUUUAUCCACCAGCUGAGCUAGGUAGCCCAGACUUGGGGAGUUACAACCCAAACCAGAAAGGAAUCCUGCUAUGGUUGCAAUAUUGGUGAAUUUUAUUGGUCAGUGUUUAUUUCGAUUGACAAUUGAACUCAUUUCAGGUGUUAAGUCUCUAAUUCCUAGAAACUACAGGUGCUAACAAAACUGACAUCAUUAACCUUAAAUAACCCUAUUUUGGCCAAUAAAAUUCCCAAUGCUCAAAUUUGGCCAAGACUGAGCACCUAAUACAUCUCGGUAACCUUGCUAGACACUUUGACGUAUGUGCUCUCCUUUGACUCCCUCAAGAGCCCCAAAAACUGUUAUUUUUCUUUCCUUCCUUGUUCCCUCUUUCCCCUUUUUUCCUCUUUUAAAAACAGUUGGGGAGUUCCCGUCAUGGCUCAGCGGAAACGAAUCUGACUAGUAUCCAUGAAGACGAAGGUUCGAUCCCGGGCCUGGCUCAGUGGGUUAAGGAUCCAGCGUUGCCAUGAGCUGUGGUGUAGGUAGCAGACGCAUCUUGGGUUCCACGUUGCUGUGGUAUGGGCCAUCGGCUACAGCUCAAAUUCCACCCCUAGCUUGGGAAUGUCCGUCCGUAUGCCACCAGUGCGGCCCUAAAAAGACCAAGGGAAAAAAAAAGCAGUUGGGAUAAUUGUCUUCACUUUCAAGGAGUGCAGAGCUUCUUGGCCCUAAAGCUUCCCAAUAUGAUUCCAAAUCCUUUUGCUCUAUAGUUUAUGAAGUGGCUAGCUUAGCUUUAUACUGUCUGUCUGGAAAUGUUAAGUUCCUGCCGUUUACUCUUUGCCAGAAACAAACUUUGAGUAGCCAGCAGUUGGCACCCCCUUCAUUCAUUAGUGGCAACCCGUGGCUUGUUUCACCUUGCCAACUCCCUUACUCUCUCCGUUGUUUUGAGGAAUGCAAAUAUAUAUGUAUAUAGUUAUAUUUUUUUGUCCAUUGAAAGGCAGUACUGUCUUUUAUUUAUUCUGUUAUUACGCCUUUAUUUCUCAAGUAGCUUGUUUGGUCUUUAGUUGAAAUAGGAUACACUUGCUUAAUAUUUUUACUCUUAUUAGAAGCUUUAAUCAGUCUGUCUUUUGGUAUUAAUGAUUUUAAUUUUGUAAAAAUUAGCCACCUCAUGUGAACACUUAAUAUUUUUAUUAAGAAAAUAACACCUAUAUCCUUAAAAGAGCUCAUUCACAGGUUGUGUGGAUUUAAAGUGAAAGAUUUACGCGUGUUUACUAUACUAGAUAUCUUUAAGCAAUGCCUUUAUUGCCAGAUGUUUGCUGACAGAAUCACCAAGUAUUGGAGUUCCCGUGUGGCGCAGCAGCAGAAACGAAUCCAACUAGGAACCAUGAGGUUGUAGGUUCGAUCCCUGGCCUUGCUCGAGUGUGUUAAGGAUCCAUUGUUGCCAUGAGCUGUGGUGUAGGUCGCAGACAGGGCUCAGAUCUGGCGUGGCUGUGGCUGUGGCGUAGGCUGGCGGCUACUGCUCCGAUUCAGCCCCUAGCCUGGGAAACUCCAUGUGCCUCGGGUGUGCCCUUAAAGAGACAAAAAAAUAAAAUAAAAUAAAGAAUCACCAAGUAUUUAAAAGACACCGACAGGCGUUCAGUAUCCAUGAGGAUGCAGGUUCAGUCCCUAGCCUUCGCUUGGUGGGUUAAGGAUCCUACGUUGUCACAAGCUGCAGUGUAUGAAGAUGGCAGAUGAGGCUCAGAUCUGGUGUUCCCCGUGGCUGUGCAGAGGCAGGCUAGGGGUCAAAGCUGAGCUACAGCUACUGGCCGCAGCCACAGCAAUGCAGGAUCCGAGCCGCGUCUGUGACCUACAUCGCAGCUCACAGCAACAAUGGAUCUUUAACCCGAUGAUGGGGGCCAAGGAUCGAACCUGCAUCCUCGUGGAUACGGGUUCAUUUCUGCUGUGCCACAAUGGGAACUCCUGUAAAUUUUUUUCACUUUAAGCAUUUCUGUUUGGGAAACACUUAUUGGCAAUGUUUCUAUCUAAAACAAAGAUUUUGGUUUCACUAUGGUUAGUAUGCCCUGAAGAAAAUGUAUCUGAGACAAGCUUUGUAUUUGGGAGACAUCCACAUCAUAGCCUUAGGUUAUUCAAAUAUGAAGUUUCUGUAAUAUAGAUUCAACUAUAGUCAAAACAUUAUCAGGUAGGAGUUCCCUGGUUCAGCAGGUUAAGAAUCCAUGGUUGUCAGUGCUUUGGCUCUGGUUACUGCUGUGGCACAGGCUUCACCCCGGCUUGGGAACUUCUGCAUGCUGUGGGCAUGGCCAAAAAAUAAUUAAG